rnacentral:lncRNA from 1 species
GCGCACUGAGCACUGGCAGCCUCCCUCUUUCAAAGACACAAAGGAAGAUUCAAGAGGUGAUUCACAGUGAGAGCUGGAGCUGUGUGAUUCUGAUAAAUGCCCCAUACAAAUGUCCUUCUAUUCCUCAGUAAAAUUUAAGUGAUUUCUGCAAGAAAAAAUAUUCAGCAACAGCAAAUCAACUAAAGUAUGUGAACUUGUUAAUAAACCAAGAAGCAUUUGCUGAGAACCUGUGUAUGGAGAACUGAG